CAUUGAUUAGGAACACUGAGCGCUAGAAUUCCUCAGGAGCAAAGCCACUGUAAAUUAUGCAAAACGACUAGCAACGUAGUAAAAAUAUUCUGCUUUGGUAAGAGCAAAAAAGUGUUGCCGUUGAGGAUGUUCUUUUCCUAUAUCAGCAAGUCCAGAUGGGCUUCUUUUUUUGUUCCUUGUGUUUUCUUCUAGCAUAUUCGCAGAAGUCUGAGCACAGAGUGGGAUGUUGCGCAGCACAGCAGAAAGAAAACGGUUCAAAAUGUUUGUUUAUGUACAUUUCCUUUUGUACCCUGCAAUGAACAUUGCAAUAGAUUACAGCGGUUCAGAACCACACGCAUGACCAUCUCUCUAAAAAGCACAUGCAAAAAAGAAGCGAGAAUAAAAAUGCCAUCUAAUCCCAGCAGACUAAAAUCUCAGUUAAACAGAAUGGAUUGACCCAACGGGUGGGUAAAACACUUUUUGUCUUGGAUGAUAUUUUGAAUCCAGGUGACAAACUGAACCUUUCAAAACUGCAUUGACUUUUUGGUUUCUUAGAAUCGCCGAACAAUGCUGAGUGCCAUGCUGAUUUUACUGUACUGAAAAAGAGAAAGGAAGUAUGCAGAUUUAUUUUAUUAUUUAUUUUAAACACUAUUUAUGGGGCAUAUUACCAAAACUGGGCCAAUAAUGAAAUGUGUGAAGGAACUGGGGGUGAAGAGACAGAAAGGGGAAGGAAGAGGUAUAGGUUCUGAAGUCAGAAAGGUGAUUCAAAGAUAGUGAAUGAUAACAGUCCCAUAAUAGUGGAACUCAGAUCCAAAGUGUGCGAUCAACAGCCUUAUAUAACCAACAUGCUUAAGUCAAAUUAAUGCAUGAAGGAGUUAAUACCACAGAAUAAGCUGUCCUGCCAGGAUUAGCUAUAUUCACUUCCCCUCACCUUGGGAGGAUGUGGUAAUCAGGCCUUUCCUCUCCUUCAGUCUACCUGAGAAGCUCAGUGUGCGAAGAGGUUUGAGCCAGUUGCUCCAGGUCAACCAUAUGGCUCUCACAAGCCACUCUUGCAUUCUAGGAAUGCUUAGCUCUUUGUAACUAAGCCAAGUUUUACCACCUACACAGCUUUUCUGAAUCACAGGAAACUGACUUUUCAAAAGUUUGUAAGUAAACCACUUUUUAACUUACCUAACAUGUGGUCUUUUUCCUAUGCUGUGUUUGAUAUUAUAUAUACAGCCUUCCUUCCUUCCUCCCUUCCUCCCUUCCUCCCUUCCUUUCUCCAACACAAAGGAUAGGGCACAGAGUCCUCAUAAGCUUAAAGCUAAUACCAUCUCUUACAGUGAAAAUCCUCGUCAUUAUAUACUUUACAUGGCUGUCUAUUUGUAUAUAUUUUAAAAAAUUAUAUAUGGAUGUUUUAUGAUGGUCUAUACUUAUAAUGUAGGACACAGGUGGCGCUGUGGGUUAAACCACAGAGCCUAGGACUUGCUGAUCAGAAGAUUGGCGGUUCAAAUCCCUGUGACGGGGUGAGCUCCCGUUGCUCAGUCCCAGCUCCUGCCAACCUAGCAGUUCGAAAGCACGUCAAAGUGCAAGUAGAUAAAUAGGUACCUUUCCGGCGGGAAGGUAAACGGCGUUUCUGUGCACUGCUCUGGUUCGCCAGAAGCGGCUUAGUCAUGCUGGCCACAUGACCCGGAAGCUGUAUGCCGGCUCCCUUGGCCAAUAAAGCGAGAUGAGCGCCGCAACCCCAGAGUCUGCCACGACUGGACCUAAUGUCAGGGGUCCCUUUACCUUUUAUACUUAUAAUAUCUAUUAAAGGUUUGGCAAAUUAAGUAAGCUUAAAGUCAAACCAGGUGAUAGCAAACACACAUACACAGCUGCACUCCCAAGGCUGGAGGGAAGGACCACAGAUGGUUCAGCUGCCUUAUCCAAUGGACACUCAUUGGCAAGCGAGAAGUGAGGGCCAGAAUUAAUCAAAGCCAUUUUGUAGAAUUCUGUACCUUGAAAGGCUCAGUUGCUUUGCCUCUCUUGUGGUAUUUCACCCUAUAGUAAAAACCUUCCUGUUUAGGCAGGUGUUUAUUUUAUAAGUGUUUGCUUGAGGCUUCAAUUUUCUUUUCUGCUGGUCUUGUAUCUGGUUUUUAUUAUAAUGCAUUCCUUUGGAAUUUUAUUUAUUGUUGGUUUUAAUCGUUGUUAGCUGCCCUGAGUGGUGUAAUGGUACCAGGGAUAAGGCAAGUUUAUACAACAGGCAGGGCCUAAACAAUGUAUUAAUGAAGUCUAGUGUUUGCAAACCCUUUUAUGGAGGUGUGCAGUAGUUGCUUAAGGAAACAUGAGCUGGCUUCCUCCUUGCCCACACCUUGAACACACCUUGAUUUUGCAAGUAGUUGAACUGCUUCCAUCUCUGACCUUCACAUAAAGGCAGGUGUUUGAUUCCCCUUCCUGAAGUGUUGUCUGGGACUGCUGGGAGUAUGGCAGAGUUCUUACUUUGGAGAAUUUAAACCAUGCUGGAAACACAGUCCGUCCAUCCGUCAGCCAGGCAGGCAGCCAGCCGGGCCAUCUGUCUUUGUUUUAUCUGUUGGCAAAGCUCAAAGCUUGCCUUCAUUGUGCUGAUCUGAAGCCGAGUUCAUUUUUCACAAGUUGCUGAAUUGCACUAUGCACAUUUUGAUAUAAAUGCGUCUGAGAACUGAUGGAGGCACCAAGACAGCUUUUGAUUGCAAGGUUCUCAUUGCAUGAAAGAAAAGAGUAUGUUCCCGCUAAAACUUAAAUUGGGCAUAAAAAGUGAAAUCCCAAGUUGAUACUCUGCCUCGCCAUCAGGUCUGUCACCAUGAUGCAGUGAUUAUGAAACCACAGUUUUUGAAGGGACCAAAUGUAGCCAUAUCACUGUUUCCAACUUCCCUGUGUCAUGACGCUCCAUGUUUCCUUGUCAGCCAAUACUAGGAGGGAGAGCAGGGAGCCAGACACAUGACUGCUCUUUCCAAUAGCAGCAGUGCAUUUAGUGUAGCCUAAUUUGCCCUUGAGAUAAAGGUGAAGGACCCCCGGAUGGUUAAGUCCAGUCAAACUUGACUAUGCUGUGUGGGGCUCAUCUUCGCUAUCUGGCCAAGGGAGCUGGCGUUUGUCUGCAGACAGCUUUCCGGGUCAUGUGGCCAGCAUGACUAAACCACUUCUGGAGCAACAGGACACCGUGACGAGUGCCAGAGCGCACAGAAAUGCCGUUUACCUUCCUGCCACAGCGGUGCCUAUUUAUCUACUCGCGCUGGUAUGCUUUUGAACUUCUAGGUUGGCAGGAGCAGGGACAGAGCAUCGGUAGUACAUUCACAGAUGCAGUUGGCUCUUGCCAAUGGAAGCUCACGCUGUGAUAGAUUUGCUAGUCUUUAAUGUGCCACAGGACCCUAUUAUGUCAGCUACAGUGAAUUCCGGAGCGCAAUUAAGAUGAUCAGCACGUGCCCUUCGACCACUGCAAAUGGGAAAGGGCAAGGUUAGGCAGCAAAGGUGAAGAAGGGUGUUCUGAGUGCAGGCAUGAGCUGUUUGUGCAGAAGCAUGCAUCUUCUCACCCCCAAGUUCUGUUUGUUUUAUUUUAUUUUCUCCAAGGCUGCUGAGUUGGGUUGAAACAUAGUUAAGCAGCACAUAAGGGCAAUGCAAUGCAGCAGCAGUUCCUCAGUUGUUGUUGUUGUUUUUAAAGGAGACGUAUAUAUACCAACCCAUAAAGAAGGCUGAUCGCCGAAGAAUUGAUGCUUUUGAAUUAUGGUGCUGGAGGAGACUCUUGAGAGUCUCGUGGACUGCAAGAAGAUCAAACCUCUCCAUUCUUAAGGAAAUCAGCCCUGAGUGCUCACUGGAAGGACAGAUCUUGAAGCUGAGGCUCCAGUACUUUGGCUACCUCAUGAGAAGAGAAGACUCCCUGGAAAAGACCCUGAUGUUGGGAAAGAUGGAGGGCACAAGGAGAAGGGGACGACAGAGGACGAGAUGGUUGGAUAGUGUUUGCGAAGCUACCAGCAUGAGUUUGACCAAACUGCGGGAGGCAGUGGAAGACAGGAGUGCCUGGCGUGCUCUGGUCCAUGGGGUCACGACGAGUCGGACACGACUAAACGACUAAACAACAACAACAACAUAUAUACCAACAAUACAACCACAAAGGAACUACUGAAAAUACCAGUGAGUAUAACUAGAUGUUACAUGCAGAUUCAGGAAGCUGUGUCUUUGAGGGGAGUAUGGUGAGGAGAUGCUUAACUCAUUCAUUUGCACUUGAAGAAAAACAAACAAACCCCAAAGCACACAUCCCAUAAACUGCUUUUCUCUGGCACUUUGUGGGGGGGGGGGAGAAAUACCUGUGGCUGAUUUGGAACAGGUAAAAACAGUAUAUCUCCGAAAGCAGAGAGAUAAAUGUAAAGCAAAGUCCUGUGGCAACAGAGUGUCAGGGCCUGGGCAGAGGAGGAAUGGUGGAGACCGCCUCCCCAGCCUGACCCUUCCAGAGAAGAAGAAGACAGUUCAGAAUUACAACAGGGGUUUCAGGGAGGUCACAGCUCAGAGGCAGAUGAGGGGGAAAGCUGGAAAAUAAUG